AACGAACGCUGGCGGCAGGCCUAACACAUGCAAGUCGAACGAGAAGCCACCUUCGGGUGGUGGACAGUGGCAGACGGGUGAGUAACGCGUGGGAACGUGCCUUUCGGUUCGGAAUAACCCAGGGAAACUUGGGCUAAUACCGGAUACGCCCUUCGGGGGAAAGAUUCAUUGCCGAAAGAUCGGCCCGCGUCGGAUUAGCUAGUUGGUGGGGUAAUGGCUCACCAAGGCGACGAUCCGUAGCUGGUCUGAGAGGAUGACCAGCCACACUGGGACUGAGACACGGCCCAGACUCCUACGGGAGGCAGCAGUGGGGAAUAUUGGACAAUGGGCGAAAGCCUGAUCCAGCCAUGCCGCGUGGGUGAAGAAGGCCUUAGGGUUGUAAACCCCUUUCAGCGGGGAAGAUAGUGACGGUACCCGCAGAAGAAGUCCCGGCUAACUCCGUGCCAGCAGCCGCCGUAA
rnacentral:rRNA from 1 species